AACGCACGAGACCUGCGGACCUGCGGAAGGAUCAUUAAUGAGAAACUGCCCCUCGCGGGUAGAUCUCCCACCCUUUGUAAACUUACCUUUGUUGCUUUGGCAGGCCCGUCUCCGGACCGCCGGCUUCGGCUGGCCAGUGCCUGCCAGAGGAUUCUAAACCUCUGUCUGUCAGUGUUGUCUGAGUCUAUAUACAAUCGUUAAAACUUUCAACAAUGGAUCUCUAGAUCGGAAGAGCACACG
rnacentral:misc_RNA from 1 species